rnacentral:rRNA from 1 species
GACGAACGCUGGCGGCGUGCUUAACACAUGCAAGUCGAACGGAAAGGCCCUGCUUUUGUGGGGUGCUCGAGUGGCGAACGGGUGAGUAACACGUGUGUAACCUGCCCUUGACUUUGGGAUAACUUCAGGAAACUGGGGCUAAUAUCGGAUAGGAGCUCCUGCUGCAUGGUGGGGGUUGGAAAGUUUCGGCGGUUGGGGAUGGACUCGCGGCUUAUCAGCUUGUUGGUGGGGUAGUGGCUUACCAAGGCUUUGACGGGUAGCCGGCCUGAGAGGUUGACCGGCCACAUUGGGACUGAGAUACGGCCCAGACUCCUACGGGAGGCAGCAGUGGGGAAUAUUGCACAAUGGGCGGAAGCCUGAUGCAGCAACGCCGCGUGCGGGAUGACGGCCUUCGGGUUAUAAACCGCUUUCGCCUGUGACGAAGCGUGAGUGACGGUAAUGGGUAAAGAAGUACCGGCUAACUACGUG